rnacentral:tmRNA from 1 species
GGGGCUGAUUCUGGAUUCGACGGGAUUUGCGAAACCCAAGGUGCAUGCCGAGGGGCGGUUGGCCUCGUAAAAAGCCGCAAAAAAAUAGUCGCAAACGACGAAAACUACGCUUUAGCAGCUUAAUAACCUGCUUAGAGCCCUCUCUCCCUAGCCUCCGCUCUUAGGACGGGGAUCAAGAGAGGUCAAACCCAAAAGAGAUCGCGCGGAUGCCCUGCCUGGGGUUGAAGCGUUAAAACGAAUCAGGCUAGUCUGAUAGUGGCGUGUCCGUCCGCAGGUGCCAGGCGAAUGUAAAGACUGACUAAGCAUGUAGUACCGAGGAUGUAGGAAUUUCGGACGCGGGUUCAACUCCCGCCAGCUCCACCA